rnacentral:rRNA from 1 species
UACGAAGGGGGCUAGCGUUGUUCGGAAUCACUGGGCGUAAAGCGCGCGUAGGCGGAUUGUUAAGUCAGGGGUGAAAUCCCGAGGCUCAACCUCGGAACUGCCUUUGAUACUGGCGAUCUUGAGUCCGGGAGAGGUGAGUGGAACUCCUAGUGUAGAGGUGAAAUUCGUAGAUAUUAGGAAGAACACCAGUGACGAAGGCGGCUCACUGGCCCGGUACUGACGCUGAGGCGCGAAAGCGUGGGGAGCAAACAGGAUUAGAUA